UACAGAGGUCUCAAGCGUUGUUCGGAUUCAUUGGGCGUAAAGGGCGCGUAGGCGGCCGAUCAAGUCGGGGGUGAAAGCCUGUGGCUCAACCACAGAAUUGCCUUCGAUACUGUUUGGCUUGAGACCGGAAGAGGUUAGUGGAACUGCGAGUGUAGAGGUGAAAUUCGUAGAUAUUCGCAAGAACACCAGUGGCGAAGGCGGCUCACUGGUCCGGUACUGACGCUGAGGUGCGAAAGCGUGGGGAGCAAACAGG
rnacentral:rRNA from 1 species